AUUGAACGCUGGCGGCAUGCCUUACACAUGCAAGUCGAACGGUAACGGGCCUUCGGGUGCCGACGAGUGGCGAACGGGUGAGUAAUGCAUCGGAACGUACCUUUCAGUGGGGGAUAACGUAGCGAAAGUUACGCUAAUACCGCAUAUUCUGUGAGCAGGAAAGCAGGGGAUCGCAAGACCUUGCGCUGAUUGAGCGGCCGAUGUCAGAUUAGCUAGUUGGUGAGGUAAAGGCUCACCAAGGCGACGAUCUGUAGCGGGUCUGAGAGGAUGAUCCGCCACACUGGAACUGAGACACGGUCCAGACUCCUACGGGAGGCAGCAGUGGGGAAUUUUGGACAAUGGGGGCAACCCUGAUCCAGCCAUGCCGCGUGAGUGAAGAAGGCCUCGGUUGUAAGCUCUUCGUCCGGGACGGAAAUACGUAUGGCGUAAUACCCUCGUGCGGAGUGACGGUACCGGGCCGAGUAAGAAAGACACCGGCCUAACUAACCGUGGCCAGCAGCCC
rnacentral:rRNA from 1 species